AGAUGCUGUACUACAGCAGAAGACAGUGAGAGGAGUGGAAGGGAGGAGGGACAAACCGGGCUCAUUCCCACACAACGACCAGCUCCGGGGGGGCCGCCAGAUGCAGAGCUGAGUCUGCGCCCCCCGGGGAGGGCUCGCCCAAGUGGAAUGCCUCCCCGGUUCUCCCUCCGUCAGAGCGCCAUCUGCUGACUCGGUGCGGAGGGACAGCUGGUGUUGUGAAUCAGGCCGCCACAGUCCAGGGACCGGCUACUUCCCAACACCAGGGUCUCAUCGCCGCCGCUCACGCCGCAGACCUCACGGGGUCUGAUGACGUUCCCAGAAAUGCAGCUUUGGUUCCUGAUGCUCUGAUGAAGAUGAUAAAACGACAUAAAUGAAUGUGGUUUUGUUUUCAAUAAAACUCUAACAUACAUCAUCCUUUUUCUCUCUUGCUUGUGGUGGAAAUAACACCCUUUCAUUCUUAUAGUGAAACAUUACAUUUCUAUAACAUACGGUGUGUUGAAGUUUUCACUAAACAUAAAAAGGCAUUUUGAAUAAAUGAGUGAAAGUGUGUAUACCUGCUUUAAAGGGCAGCCUAAAAUCAAAGCCACAAACACGCCUGAUGAAUAACAUGAGACGGCUGCUGGCUGUAAUCUCAGCUCUCCGAAACGGUUCAAACUUCCUGUGUUAAAGAGAUUUCAUUCUUCUUUCACUGCUGGAUGUUAAUGUUUGACUGAAAACACUUUAUAUAUAUUUCAGAUCAACAAAUGUGUAAAUUCAGGACUUUGAUGAAACAGGACAGUUUAUGUAAAGCUAAACAUGUUGACCCUCACAGUGAAAUAAAUAACAAAAUUAUUUUUCAGAAGGAAUUAAAAAU
rnacentral:lncRNA from 1 species